rnacentral:rRNA from 1 species
GACGAACGCUGGCGGCGUGCCUAAUACAUGCAAGUCGAGCGGACCCCUUCGGUGGUCAGCGGCGGACGGGUGAGUAACACGUGGGCAACCUGCCUGUAAGACUGGGAUAACACCGGGAAACCGGUGCUAAUACCGGAUAAUCCUUUCCUUCACAUGAAGGGAAGCUGAAAGACGGUUUCGGCUGUCACUUACGGAUGGGCCCGCGGCGCAUUAGCUAGUUGGUGAGGUAACGGCUCACCAAGGCAACGAUGCGUAGCCGACCUGAGAGGGGUAUCGGCCACGCUGGUUGUGAGGCACGGCCCGGACUCCUACGGGAGGCAGCAGUAGGGAAACUUCCGCAAUGGACGAAAGUCUGACGGAGCGGCGCCGCGUGAGUGAUGAAGGCCUUCGGGUCGUAAAGCUCUGUGGGGAGGGACGAACCGCCGGAUGUUCAUAGCAUCCGGCAUGACGGUACCUCCUUAGCAAGCACCGGCUAACUUCGUGCCAGCCGCCGCAGUAACAC